GGAAUGUGGUGGAGUGGGAGAUGUGGGUGCAGCUGAGCAGUAGUGGCACUGCUUCUAGAGAUGGUUUUGCUAGCGACUGGAAUCUUCUAAAGGCGGAUAUUCAAGCCUUUGAAAAAUGGACAGGAAUAUAAUUCCCUCUACAAUUCCUUGAAAUCUUCUCACUCAUCCCAAAACACUGGGCUUAUGGAGUCAAAAUGAGCACUGCAGAAAAUAAAUGCGCAUGCUGCAUUUGCUGCCCUGGAUUAACACAAAAUGAGAAUCCAGAAGGCUAAGGAAUUUCUUGGGGUGCAAGCCACCGGAGGAGACUGUAGUCUUCCUCUCCAUUUCCUUCUGGGCCAUACCCAUGUGUGCUGAACUGUUUGGUCACCCCCCAAAACUGCUGGCCUGACCAAGAUGCCUUCAAACACCAGGACUCCUGCCUCGCACAGGAGGGCUGUAUCUCUGGUGCCUGCUUUUCUCUCUGUUCCCUCUCAGAGCUGGGACUUGCUUUCAUGGAAGCAUGCAGGAACAUUGCUGUGCAUUCCCGUACCAUUACUGGUAAGGAAGGUGCAGCUUCUGUGCUAAAGAUCUCCAGCUUUAAUGUGGAACUGGAGCAGCAAGGGCUGUCAGUGAUGUCUGCUGGGCUCAAGCUGCUCUCCUGGGCUGCCUGUGGGCUCUGGAAGAGAAGCAGUGUUUGCUGCCCAAGGAUGCUGUCAUCCUUCUCUCCAUCUCCUUCUGGGCCAUACCUGUGUGUGCUGAACUGUU